rnacentral:misc_RNA from 1 species
UAAUAAGUGUUUUAUGGCACUUUUUAAAUCCAUAUCCACCUUGUGUGCAAUGUACAGUCGAUCUUCUUCAGUGGAGAUCGACCAAACAUCAACCUUUAUCUUUUAACUCUUUGUCUGAAAAAUAUUAUGAAUAAACAAUUCAAAAUA